AUGCUCUGCUCUGUGCUCCAUGCAGGGCUGGGGACCACCGCCGCUGUCCCUGUCACCACAGAGGGACCAUUUGCUGCCACUCCAUCGCAGAACGAGGCGCCCACUGCCCUGCUGCAGGGCACUGUGGGGACAAGCACUAUCAGUGACACCGUGAUGGCUGAGAGCAUCCCUGUGAGUCCCACCAAGGGUCCAUCCUGGGCUGAGCCAGAUUCGGUGACAGACACCACUGCGUACAGCUCCCCUCUGGGUGCAGAGAGAGAUGCAGGCCUGAGCACUGGGGCAAUGACAGAGGCACCCACUGGAGACCCUCUGGCUGGGACAGACAUGGCCACACCUCUUGAUGCAACACAGAAAUACCAGAGUGGUUUGGAAGCUGCUGUAGGUGCUGCCAUCAUUGUCACCCCACAGCCCAAUUUUACCCCCAGCACCAAGCAGAACGUAACAGAGGUCACCAUGGCUGCACCCCUGGGGAGCAGCCCUGACUUUGCAGACAUCCCAGCAUCCACAGCAAGGGCAGGAGCAGCCUUGGAGUCCACAGCUGAUGCCAUGUUCCUCCCCAGUGCCACCAUUCCAUCAGCUGCAGAGGCGCAGGCAAUGACCAGCAACCCCCAUGUCACUGCUCUGCCCCCAGCUGCAGGAGCAGAGGUGGAAGGUGCCACCCUGCCAGGGGACAGCCAAGGGGAUGGACUUGCCCACAGCCCUGGUGCUGGGGGGCUUCUCCCAACACCAUGGGGUGAGGUUGUGGGUGGAACAGUGGGUGACACCCCAGGAUGGGGAGCUUUGGAAUCCAGAGAUGAGGGAGAUGCAGCAAAUGGCGUCUUCAGCACAGCUGAUUCACCCCAGCUGCCUCCAGAGAAUGUGACAGCAUUGGAAACAGCAGAAAGCCCAAGUCAAAGCUCCCUUCUUGCAGGAGAGGCAGGGCCGAGCCCUGCUAGUUUGCUAGGACCUGGUGAUGGGGACUGGCAGGGAGCCCCAGCAGCGCUCACAUCUGGCCCUGGCUCAGCCCUGGCAGAGAUCGAGGCACCAGGGGUGAGAGGGGACACAGCCACCCUGCUGCCAGCAACACAUGUGCAGAGUGAUGCAGAUGUCCCAGCCACGGACACUGGUGUGCCCCUGCCCACAGGGGCUGUGGAUCUGGCCGAGAGUUCCCUGCAGCCACCCCCAGGGCUGAGCCCCAUCGGAGAAGAGCAGUCACAGCCUGGUGCUGAUACUCCGGCCCCCACAGACACUUCUGGUUCACCCAGCACUGCUUUCCCACCCCCAGUGGUUGCAGACGGAUCCUUUCCAGCAACUGAUGAUGGUACAGACGCAGUGGUGAGCCCUGACUUCAGUGCUGAUUUAGGAGCAUCUCCAUCCCCGCCCCUAGAGGGGUCACAGCCAUUGGGGACAGCAGCUGAUGGACCUGACACCAGUCUGAACUCAGCUUUGGGUGCCACCAACCCAUCAUCUUCUCUACCUGAUGGUGCAGCAUUGCCUGCUGCAGGGCAACAGGCACCAGGGGACGCAGGCAAAAGGGGACACAACACAGGCAUAGAGAUGCAGGGCAUGGCAGUGCCUACACAGCCCCCCAGAGUGAUGUGAUCUUCGUAGAUAGCAGCAGCCAGCAGGGCCCCUCUGAUGCCACACCAGGGAGCUGGGCUUCACCGAGAUGUCCCCUGUUCCAGCUCCUGGGGAAGGAGACUGGCACCAGCACUGUCUCCAGCAGCUCCCAGCCCACGGACCUCUCUGGAGCUGGAGGACAGGACACCUGCCUGCUGAGACUUGGAUGCCCCUGGGAGCUGCUCU
rnacentral:lncRNA from 1 species